rnacentral:rRNA from 1 species
UACGUAGGGUGCAAGCGUUAAUCGGAAUUACUGGGCGUAAAGGGUGCGUAGGCGGUUCGUUAAGUCUGUCGUGAAAUCCCCGGGCUCAACCUGGGAAUGGCGAUGGAUACUGGCGAGCUAGAGUGUGUCAGAGGAUGGUGGAAUUCCCGGUGUAGCGGUGAAAUGCGUAGAGAUCGGGAGGAACAUCAGUGGCGAAGGCGGCCAUCUGGGACAACACUGGCGCUGAAGCACGAAAGCGUGGGGAGCAAACAGG